rnacentral:rRNA from 1 species
UGAACUGGAUGACCUCGAGGGCAGGAGAGGGGGAGUGGACUUCCCAGUGUAGCGGGUGAAUGCGUAGAUAUCGGAGGAUCACCCAGUGGCGAAGGCGGCUCUCUGGCCUGUUUCUGACGCUGAGGCGCGAAAGCGUGGGGAGCAAACGGGAUUAGAUACCCCGGUAGUCACGCCGUAAACGAUGGGUGCUAGGUGUAGGAGGUAUCGACCCCGUCUGUGCCGUAGUUAACACAAUAAGCACCCCGCCUGGGGAGUACGGCCGCAAGGUUGAAACUCAAAGGAAUUGACGGGGGCCCGCACAAGCGGUGGAGCAUGUGGUUUAAUUCGACGCAACGCGAAGAACCUUACCAGGGCUUGACAUCCUCUGACCGCAUAUGAAAGUAUGUUUUCUGGCUUCGGUCAGACAGAGAGACAGGUGGUGCAUGGUUGUCGUCAGCUCGUGUCGUGAGAUGUUGGGUUAAGUCCCGCAACGAGCGCAAC